AGUGAACGCUGGCGGUAGGCCUAACACAUGCAAGUCGAACGGCAGCACAGGAGAGCUUGCUCUCUGGGUGGCGAGUGGCGGACGGGUGAGGAAUACAUCGGAAUCUACUCUGUCGUGGGGGAUACCGUAGGGAAACUUACGCUAAUACCGCAUACGACCUACGGGUGAAAGCAGGGGAUCUUCGGACCUUGCGCGAGUGAAUGAGCCGAUGUCGGAUUAGCUAGUUGGCGGGGUAAAGGCCCACCAAGGCGACGAUCCGUAGCUGGUCGGAGAGGAUGAUCAGCCACACUGGAACUGAGACGCGGUCCAGACUCCUACGGGAGGCAGCAGUGGGGAAUAUUGGACAAUGGGCGCAAGCCUGAUCCAGCCAUACCGCGUGGGUGAAGAAGGCCUUCGGGUUGUAAAGCCCUUUUGUUGGGAAAGAAAUCCAGCUGGCUAAUACCCGGUUGGGAUGACGGUACCCAAGGAAUAAGCACCGGCUAACUUCGUGCCAGCCGCCGCAGUAA
rnacentral:rRNA from 1 species